rnacentral:snRNA from 1 species
GUGGCACCACAUUUACUAAAAUUGGAACAAAACAUAUUAGCAUGGCACCUGCUUGAGAAUGACAGGAAAAUUCAUGCAGUGGUCCAUAUUUUU